rnacentral:rRNA from 1 species
AUUGAACGCUGGCGGCAUGCUUCACACAUGCAAGUCGAACGGCAGCGCGGGGCAACCUGGCGGCGAGUGGCGAACGGGUGAGUAAUAUAUCGGAACGUACCCAGAAGUGGGGGAUAACGUAGCGAAAGUUACGCUAAUACCGCAUACGAUCUAAGGAUGAAAGUGGGGGACCUUCGGGCCUCAUGCUUUUGGAGCGGCCGAUAUCUGAUUGGCUAGUUGGUGAGGUAAAGGCUCACCAAGGCGACGAUCAGUAGCUGGUCUGAGAGGACGACCAGCCACACUGGAACUGAGACACGGUCCAGACUCCUACGGGAGGCAGCAGUGGGGAAUUUUGGACAAUGGGCGCAAGCCUGAUCCAGCAAUGCCGCGUGAGUGAAGAAGGCCUUCGGGUUGUAAAGCUCUUUUGUCAGGGAAGAAACGGCUUGGGCUAAUAUCCUGAGCUAAUGACGGUACCUGAAGAAUAAGCACCGGCUAACUACGUGCCAGCCGCCGCCGUAA